GCUAGUAGCCUGCCCCGAUAGGACUUCCCAGGAGGAGAAACUUCCAGAAGACAAGAAAGAAGGACGCUGUCUCCUUGCUGGAAUGUUCUUUCUGAGCUUGGGUCACUGUAGCGAGAGGCCAUCGUGUGUUUCUGGUUUCAUUUCUUUGAUCCUGACGGUGGUGAGCUGCAGACAGGAUAAGAGGAAAAUGGUACUCCCUUAAUUCAAUGACAGCAGCUCUGGAUUUUACAGUCUGCAUCCUCAAUAAAGUCCUCUUGAUAAAAAAAUCCAGCUAGCCAAAUAAAGCAACUGUGAUGAGAAUUUAACAAAAAA